rnacentral:rRNA from 1 species
AGUGAACGCUGGCGGUAGGCCUAACACAUGCAAGUCGAACGGCAGCACAGUAAGAGCUUGCUCUUACGGGUGGCGAGUGGCGGGCGGGUGAGGAAUACAUCGGAAUCUACUUUUUCGUGGGGGAUAACGUAGGGAAACUUACGCUCAUACCGCAUACGACCUACGGGUGAAAGCAGGGGAUCUUCGGACCUUGCGCGAUUGAAUGCGCCGAUGUCGGAUUAGCUAGUUGGCGGGGUAAAGGCCCACCAAGGCGACGAUCCGUAGCUGGUCUGAGAGGAUGGUCAGCCACACUGGAACUGAGACACGGUCCAGGCUCCUACGGGAGGCAGCAGUGGGGAAUAUUGGACAAUGGUCGCAAGCCUGAUCCAGCCAUACCGCGUGGGUGAAGAAGGCCUUCGGGUUGUAAAGCCCUUUUGUUGGGAAAGAAAAGCAGCAGGUUAAUACCCCGCUGUUCUGACGGUACCCAAAGAAUAAGCACCGGCUAACUUCGUG